AGGAGAGCACGAACUCUCUACCCUAUAAAAAAGAUUAAUUCAUAUUCUAUUUCUUACAUGCAAAGAGAAAAAGAUAUGGCUGAAACUCUCAAAUUUGUUUAUAGUUAUACUAUGAUUCUAUUUCUUUUCUUAUUUUUUGUCGCAACGGAAUCCGGUACAGAACUUAUAGAAUGUGAAAAAGAUAGUGAUUGUCCAAUAUCUUGGCACGAGUUUUUUUGGUUUAGGUGCUAUCGUAAUAAAUGUAAAUGGGUUCAUAGGUUUCCCUGAUUCUGAAUUUCAUAUCCAGGAGAAUAAGACUGUGUGCUAUCAAAAUAAAUGUGUAGUAUAUGUUAUGAUAGAAUAUUUCAUUAGUUGUCAUUUAUUUAUUGUAAUGCCAUCCAAUAAAGUUUUUCUUUCCCUAAUUUCAUGUACCAUGUAUGUAUAUUGUGUGUAAAAAAAUAAAUAAAGAACCUUGUGUAUAAUUUUGUAUUCUAAGAUGAUGGUAUGGUUGCAUAAAAAUACAAGUGAUGGUAAGGCAACAAAGAGUGUUAUUUAAAUUAUAUUCUUCUCUUUU